UACAGAGGUCUCAAGCGUUGUUCGGAUUCAUUGGGCGUAAAGGGUGCGUAGGCGGCGCGGUAAGUCGGGUGUGAAAUCUCGGGGCUUAACUCCGAAACUGCAUUCGAUACUGCCGUGCUUGAGGACUGGAGAGGAGACUGGAAUUCAGGUGUAGCGGUGAAAUGCGUACGAUAUCAGUGAACGAAGACCAGCGGCGAAGGCGGCUCGUGGGACG
rnacentral:rRNA from 1 species